CCCACUGAGCCAUCUCGCCAGCCCAAGUUUUAAGUUUUUAAAAAGAAAAUUUAUGGGCUGGCGAGAUGGCUCAGCCGU
rfam:Rattus norvegicus chromosome 1, whole genome shotgun sequence.